GAAAAUAACUACCUGCAAAGUAUUGAAACAGAAAUGUAUGUUGCCAUGGAAACAGAGCUCUAUUUGUGACCUAAGUUUUAUUCUAUGCAGUUCCAAAGCCAAGUAGUAGCCAACAAGGAAGCAGAGAGUUAACUAAGAAUGUGAUCAAAUAAAUUAGAAGCUCACUGUGGAUGAAGACAACUGUACCAUGGCAAUCCCUGAAUGUGCUCUCGACUGUGGUGCCCUGUCUAUGUUGUAGACUCUUCAGUACUUGGUAUCAUUAAAAGCAUCAGUCACUGAUAAA